AUUGAACGCUGGCGGCAGGCCUAACACAUGCAAGUCGAACGAGUGGCGGACGGGUGAGUAAUGUCUGGGAAACUGCCCGAUGGAGGGGGAUAACUACUGGAAACGGUAGCUAAUACCGCAUACCAUCGGAUGUGCCCAGAUGGGAUUAGCUCGUAGGUGGGGUAACGGCUCACUUAGGCGACGAUCCCUAGCUGGUCUGAGAGGAUGACCAGCUACAGUGGAACUGAGAAACGGUCCAGACUCCUACGGGAGGCAGCAGUGGUGAAUAUUGCACAAUGGGCGCAAGCCUGAUGCAGCCAUGCCGCGUGUAGGAAGAAGGCCUUCGGGUUUUAAAGUACUUUCAGCGAGGAGGCGUUACUCGCAGAAGAAGCAACGGCUAACUCCGGGCCAGCAGCCGCGGUAAUUC
rnacentral:rRNA from 1 species